rnacentral:tRNA from 1 species
GCCUGAGUGGCUCAGUGGUUGAGCAUCUGCCUUUGGCUCAGGUCAUGAUCCUGGGGCCCAGGAUCGAGUCCUGAGUUAGGCU